rnacentral:rRNA from 1 species
UACGUAGGCAGCGAGCGUUGUUCGGAGUUACUGGGCGUAAAGGGUGUGUAGGCGGUUGUUUAAGAUUGGUGUGAAAUCUCCCGGCUCAACUGGGAGGGUGCGCCGAAUACUGAAUGACUUGGAGUGCGGGAGAGGAAAGUGGAAUUCCUGGUGUAGCGGUGAAGUGCGUAGAUAUCAGGAGGAACACCGGUGGUGUAGACGGCUUUCUGGACCGUAACUGACGCUGAGACACGAAAGCGUGGGUAGCAAACAGG